rnacentral:misc_RNA from 1 species
AAGUCGUAACAAGGUUUCCGUAGGUGAACCUGCGGAAGGAUCAUUAAUGAAAGAUAAUUUUUUGGGGUUUUCCCUGAAAAAUAAUUCACCCUUUGUGCAUUGUUAUUUAGAUAUACUUUGGUUAGUGCUUUGGUUCUAAAAAUACAUUUGGAAUCAACUUCUUGCUAACUCUAUCCUGUUAAGGACAGUUGGCUAUGAAGCGGCCUACCAAGGUUUUUUAUCAAACUCUUGUAUUUUGUCUGACCUAAAAACAAAUAAUUAAAUCAUAACUUUCAACAACGGAUCUCUUGGCUCUC